rnacentral:rRNA from 1 species
GUAAGGAAUAUUGGUCAAUGGAGGAAACUCUGAACCAGCUAUCCCGCGUGAAGGAUGAAGGGGCUCUGCCUUGUAAACUUCUUUUGUCUGGGGCGAAAAAGCUCGAUUUAUCGAGAACUGACGGUACCAGAAGAAUAAGCACCGGCUAACUCCGUGCCAGCAGCCGCGGUAAUACGGAGGGUGCAAGCGUUAUCCGGAAUCACUGGGUUUAAAGGGUGCGUAGGCGGCUUAGUAAGUCAGUGGUGAAAGGCUGUGGCUUAACCAUGGAAUUGCCAUUGAUACUGCUGAGCUUGAAUAAGGUUGAGGUUGGCGGAAUGUGACAUGUAGCGGUGAAAUGCUUAGAUAUGUCAUGGAACACCGAUUGCGAAGGCAGCUGACUGGACCUGCAUUGACGCUGAGGCACGAAAGCGUGGGGAGCGAACAGGAUUAGAAACCCCUGUAGUCC